UACGAAGGGUGCUAGCGUUGUCCGGAAUUAUUGGGCGUAAAGCGCGCGCAGGCGGUUCUUUAAGGCUGAUGGGAAAGCCCACGGCUCAACCGUGGAGGGUCAUUGGAAACUGGGGAACUUGAGUACAGAAGAGGAAAGCGGAAUUCCACGUGUAGCGGUGAAAUGCGUAGAGAUGUGGAGGAACACCAGUGGCGAAGGCGGCUUUCUGGUCUGUAACUGACGCUGAGGCGCGAAAGCGUGGGGAGCAAACAGG
rnacentral:rRNA from 1 species